rnacentral:miRNA from 1 species
AAACACACACUCUGCAUUAUAUACACACGCUACAUUAUAUACACAGAGUGUGUGUAUAUAAUGCAGAGUGUGUGUUU